AUUGAACGCUGGCGGCAGGCCUAACACAUGCAAGUCGAGCGAGCGGCGGACGGGUGAGUAAUGUAUGGGGACUGCCCGGUAGAGGGGGCUAACUACUGGAAACGGUGGCUAAUACCGCAUACUAUCGGAUAACCCAUAGUGGAUUAGCUAGUAGGUGGGGUAAAGGCUCACCUAGGCGACGAUCUAUAGCUGGUCUGAGAGGUUGAUCGGCCACACUGGGACUGAGAACCGGCCCAGACUCCUACGGAGGCAGCAGUAGGGAAUAUUGCACAAUGGACGAAAGCCUGAUGCAGCCAUGCCGCGUGAGUGAAGAAGGCCUUAGGGUUGUAAAGCACUUUCAGCGGGGAAGCGUUACCCACAGAGGAAGCACCGGCUAACUCCGUGCCAGCAGCCGCGGUAAUUC
rnacentral:rRNA from 1 species